rnacentral:rRNA from 1 species
UACGUAGGGUGCGAGCGUUAAUCGGAAUUACUGGGCGUAAAGCGUGCGCAGGCGGCGCGUUAAGACAGGUGUGAAAGCCCCGAGCUUAACUUGGGAAUUGCGCUUGUGACUGGCGUGCUGGAGUGUGGCAGAGGGAAGCGGAAUUUCCGGUGUAGCGGUGAAAUGCGUAGAUAUCGGAAGGAACACCAGUGGCGAAAGCGGCUUCCUGGUCCAGCACCGACGUUCAGGCACGAAAGCGUGGGGAGCAAACAGG